GUUUGAGGCUGGCAUUCUCUUCUCUUCAAUAUCUAGCUGCCUUGCCAAAAAGUGAACUAUGGAUAGUAUAAGAAGGAAUGUUGAUUGCCCUAAUUCUUAUGACCAUAAAUGAUGAGAAACUUGAUAACAUCAUUUGACACCAACAAUGAGUGAGUUUUUCCAGGAUUUUUGAGAUUGCUGUUCUGUCACGGAGAGAACAUAUAUAAAUUUCCUCUUUUCAUAGUAAGUUCUAAACCAUCAACUCGUAGCACUAAAUGUUAAUUCAUAUACUCAGGGGAAAAUAAGGUAUUUUCAUGUAAAGAUACUUCAUAGGCAUAUAAACCUGUUGCAAAGUAAGGUUUUGAGGUAGUUUUUAGUUGCAUCUGAUGAGGGUAUUGGACUAGUUGACCUCUGUCCUGUCCGGUUCUAGAUCUAUAAUGAUAAUGCUACAUACUAGUUUACAAAUAGAAUUUUUUUUUAUCUUUUCAUUGGUACAGUACUCAUUUUGGGAUAAUGUUAUGAGGCUUCUUAAACUUGAGGCUAAGACUUAUAGGUUCUCUAGCCUUUAACCUUGCUGUUCAAAUAAAAUGUGCUUGUGUGAGAAAUACUCCUUGGGGCAGCUACUUGGAGUAGUGGAUAGAGCACCAGCCCUGGAGUCAGGAAGACCUGAGUUUAAAUGCUGCCUCAGAUACUUGACACUAACCCUGUGACCCUGGGCAAGUCACUUAAGCCCAUUGCCUAGCCAAAAAGAAAAAGAAAUACCCCUUGUACAUUUGUCAGUUCAGUGCUUCAGUUUGUCUUUUUGCUCCAGACUUUGUCAGGAUAGAGAGCUGAUUUGACAGCAGGUUGCAAUAGCAGCAGUUCCUAAGUUUGUAUGAAAGAAAUUCCUGAAAUUUUAAGGGGACAAGAUGGCAGAGGGUUGAUGAUAUAGAUCAACCCUCUCUCCCCAUCUAAAGACAAGGUAAAUAAAAUUUCCACUGUUCUUUGGAUUUCUUGAAUUGUUACCUUAAUAAGAUUGAUGUUUUAGGGACAAUGAAGAGUCUUCCUACCCAUACUCACUUUCACGAUAUUGGUAUUCUUUAAUUUACAUUGUAAGCUUCUCUGGUCAGGGAGUCUCAUUUAGUUAAUUGUGAUUAAGAAUAUGAUGCCUGGUAUAGCACUAAGUAUUGUGUUAUCUCUUUUGAAAGAUGAAAAGUCUCCAGUAUAAUAAUAGCUAGCCUGUGUAUUGUAUAUGUUUAUCCCUAAAUCAUCUUUAUACAUUUUCCAAAUAUAUUCUUAGACCUUGGGCUGAAAAUUAAAUUUGCUCUCUCAAAUGUUGCUUACCUUUCGUGUCAUGGCCAAUAAAUAAAGUACAGUUAAUGGAUCCCUUUCAACAUUAAUUCAGCUGCAUUGGUGCUAUAUGUGUUCAUGGUGCUAUGAAUUAUAGGUCACAGGGAUAUCAACUUUCAUUUCCAGGCACGGUGAAAGUAAUUACAUUUAAUUUGUCCUGAAUUUCUGUUCUGCAGCAAUUUCUUUUACUAGGUGGAGCCCCCAUGCAGCUUGUGUUAUAUAGUUAGCCAACUUGAUUGUAAACAAAGACAUGUAGAAAUAAAAGUAAGGUGAUAGAACCAGGCUAAAUCUACAGUAAUGGUCCAUGACUGUUUUUGUUUUGUUUUGUUUUUUUGAGUAUGUACUUUUUUGGAGUCAGAUUUCUUUUCUACCUCUUAAGAAUCUUUUUAAACUAAUGAGAAUAUAUACAUUCCUGGUUUUACUUAGGGAAAGGCAGCAUGUACUUUUGUACAUUGAUUCCUUUUAUUGGGAUCCUAUUCUUAAGGAAAAACUUUUAGAAUUCUUCAUUUCAAAGGGGCUAAGGCCAGAGAUUCAGAUGUUAAAAUUUUAAAUUAAGAUGUAUUACAUUCAGACCUUAUCAGAGAUUUUAAGAGGUGUGAAAGAAAAGUACUUUAAAUGUUGUGAAAUUUGAGUUUUCAAACUUGAAUCCUUUAUUAUUUUAAUAAAUUCCCUUUGGUAUUCUGUACCCACUCAAUUUGGCAAUUCACUCAAAUCCUGAAUAAAGUCAGCCAGACCAUAACUUGUAAAUUUUGCUUAAAAUAUUUCACAGAUAAAACCCAUAGGAGAGUUUUUAUUUCACAAGUGACUAAAAUGAAAAUUCUGAGUAAUUUUCCAGAUGCAAGCCAGUCUUUUCUUUUUUUCAAUUCUGAGCCCACUGUCCAACUACAGUCACUCAGGACUUGGGUUCAGAUUCUGACUCUACCACUUAUUGUUGCCCCUGACAUAGGCACUCUGUAAAUGAAGGCUGGUCAAAGAUCGAUGGCUUUCUAAUUAUAUUUUUUUCUCUGCAUAGCUGUAGUUGGGGAAAAAAUAAGAAAGUUUCCUUUGAAAACAUUUGGUUCUCUUACUCUAUCCCUGAUAUAUUAAUAUCUGAUAUGGACACAUCCAAAUUGUUAAUACAAAGUGAUGACUGAGAAUGUAGUGUGGUAUAGUGGACUUGGAGUCAGAAGACCCAGGCUCACAUCCAUACUUGUUCUUUGCUGUGUGACCUUGAAUAAAUGAUUUCACCACUCUGAGCUUCAGUUUACUUAUCUAUAAAAUGGGAAUGUUACUGACAAUACCUACCUAAAUAAUACCUAAUCACAGAUAAGUGAAAAACUUGAAUGAUGAUGGCUAUUAAAACACAUGCUGAGAUGAAAUAAUUUUUUACUGUGCUCACCUUGUCAUAGCUAACAGACUGCCAUGAAUUAAUAUUGUCCGAGGAAGUCUGGAAUGUUUUAUCUCCACCCAUAAAAGCAACUUUCUGGAGCCUAGCACAAAGAAGCUCUUGACCAGUAGGUCUUGUGGAAAAUAUUUUCAUAUUCUGUAUUACAAAGGGAGUUUACAUAGAAGAAAAAGUUCAUUUAUUCCCAAGGCUUCAACUACCACCUUUAUGCAGAUGACUCUCAAACCUUAUCUCCAGGGCAGAGCUCCAGACAGUCAUCUUCAGCUGCCCGCGAGACCUCUUCACCUGAAUGUUCCUAUGGCACCUCAGAUUAAUCAUAUCCAAAGCUAAGUUUAAGUGUUUUUUUUUCUUGUUUUAAACCUACUUUCCUUCAGAUUUAACUGUUCCGGUGUCAUCAGUGUCACUGGCAUCACCAUUCGUUCUGUCCCCUGAGUGUUAAUAACUCAGUCCUUCACAUUUCAUUCAAAUAGUCACCAAGUCUUGUUGAUUCCGUUUCUACAACAGCUCUCAUUCUGUCCCUCCUUUGAUUUCCACUUAUCCCACAAUAAUACAAACCCUAAUUACCACUUACCUAACCUAUUGAAAUGACUUCUUUACCUGUGUCUCUUCAUUUACUCUUCCCCUCUGCUGACCUAUCCUUUACAUCAUCGCCAAGUCAUCUCGUGCAUAGAUUUAAUUGUGACAUUACUUUUCUCAGAAAUCUUCACUGGAUCCCCAUUUCCUGCCUGGUGAAGUUUUAAAUUUUAGACUGGCAUUCAAGACACUCUGUUAUCUGUUUUAUGCCCUCCUGCAAUUCUAGGCUUCUAAUUUUUUCCCUUUGCACACCCUUUGACACUAGCCAAACUGAGCUAAUUGACUCCACAAACCUAUGCUGUGUAUACCUGGAAUGUUCUUCCUUCGCUUUUAAAGCUGCUUAGAUGCCACUUCCUACUUCCUUACGAUUUUGGUAACAAUCUUGCCCUGAAACAAUGUAACACUUUGUUUUGUAACCCUAAUGUAUCUGUGGCUUUGUGUCAGACUUUCAUUUUCCUAAUAGUGAAUUCUUGGGUGGCAGGGACAAUAUCUUAACUAAAUUGUGUUACCCCUUGGUGUUUUGCAUGCAGUAGACAAUAUUAUAUUAUGUGGCUUACUAGACUGUAAGCUCCACGAGAGCAGGGAUUAUGUCUUGUCUAAACUUUGGGACUUCCACAAUGACUAGUUUAAUACUUUGCUCACAGUAGGCACUUAAUAAAUGUUUGUAUGAUUGAACUGAACUGCCUGCUGACCUUUUCCAGAAUAUAUUUUCUGUCAUUUAUUUGACAAUAAUGAAUUGCUUUUGGGAUACUUUGUAUGGAGCUAUUUAAUGUGGCCUUUGUUUUUUAAGUUUUAUGUCACUAAACAUUUUCUGCAACAGAGACCCUGUUUUUAUAGUCAUUCACCUGACAGAAAGGCACAAAAAUACAGCAUCCUGUUAUAUUUAUUUGUUGGUGACAAAAAAGCAUUUGACUUAGUAUAACGAAAUAUAACUGCAAAAGUACCUUUCCUCUUGGCUGUAUGUUACGAUCAGUUUUUUUUUAUAAAGCCACAGAGGUGAUUGUGUUAAUUGACCCUCUAGUGCAAGAGAAAAUAUAGCAUUUGGAGAAAGGGGACCAACCCAGCUUCUAGCUGUGUGACCUUGGGCAAGUCACUUCACUUUAUUGGAAAUGUCUCCCCGUUUGUAAAUUUCGGUGAUUGGACUAAAUAAUCUCUAAAUCUAUGAUCCUGUGAUUGUUUUAGCUUUGUAGAGUCAAUCUGUUAGCUUAUUAAUUCACAUUAGAAAGAUUGGAUAUAAGUUUUGAUCCACAGAUUAGGACUGCUGCUCUAGCAAACUAGGAAUCAAUCUGGCAAUAUGCUCGACAUUUAAAAUAUAUAUAUGUGUUGUACUGUUAUCUUCUGUUUUCAGUAUUAUAUGAGAUACGUUUCCCAAGGUGGUACUCUCCUUAUUCCUUCCCUGGGAACCUUCCUUUAUAAGAAAUAAAAAUCACUUCAAUAAAAUUAACUAGCAAAAAAAAAUGUGAAAAGGCAUUUAUUAAGCAUAUUUGAUAAAUACGUGCUGCAGGUACCUCGGGAAAAGUAAGACACCCCCUGCUCUUGAGCUCACAUUCUACUGGAAGGAGACAACACACACAGUUCUCAGCUGUAAGUCCUAUAUGCCCUUGAGACCUGUGGGUGUGGGUGCUGUCAUCUGACCUGUUGGUACAUCCCCCAGGAUGGGGCCUGCUAUCUGCUCCUACUGUCAAAUUCAAGUAUUUGUUCUCCCCACCCACCCACUCCCAGUUAGAUUUUGAUCUUGAGAUCAGGAAUGGUUUUGUUUUCUCUCCUUGUAUCUCCAGUACUUCUUGGCAAUAGUAAAUAAUAAAUUUUAAUUUUGGUCAUUAGUUCAUUCUUUGGGGCCCAGGUUGUUCAUUAUAAUCUCACUGGCUUCAGUUUUGUUGUUCUUUCAACUUACAUUGUUGUAGUUAUCGUGCAUAUUAUUUUUCAUGUUCUGCUUCACUUUACAUCAGUUCAUAUGUAUUUCUCUAUGUCUAUGUUCAUAUUCACUGUUUUAUUACAGAAAAGUAAUAUUCCAUCAUAUUUCACACAACACGGUUUGUUUUGCCAUUCCCCAAUCCAUGGAUUAUCUACUUUGAAGUUUUAACAGAUUGUAGCAAUAUACUUAAUAAAUAUUUCUUGAAAGCA